rnacentral:rRNA from 1 species
UACAGAGGGGGCAAGCGUUGUUCGGAAUUACUGGGCGUAAAGCGCGCGCAGGCGGUUCUUUAAGUCAGUGGUGAAAGCCCGGAGCUCAACUUCGGAAUUGCCAUUGAAACUGUAGAACUUGAGUACGAGAGAGGUGAGUGGAAUUCCCAGUGUAGAGGUGAAAUUCGUAGAUAUUGGGAAGAACACCGGUGGCGAAGGCGGCUCACUGGCUCGUAACUGACGCUCAGGCGCGAUAGCGUGGGGAUCAAACAGG